UCCUUAACUGACGCUAAAGCUCGAAAGUGCGGGUAUCGAACAGGAUUAGAUACCCUGGUAGUCCGCACGGUAAACGAUGGAUGCCCGCUGUUGGCGAUAUAAUGUCAGCGGCCAAGUGAAAACGUUAAGCAUCCCACCUGGGGAGUACGCCGGCAACGGUGAAACUCAAAGGAAUUGACGGGGGCCCGCACAAGCGGAGGAACAUGUGGUUUAAUUCGAUGAUACGCGAGGAACCUUACCCGGGCUUGAACUGCAGCCGAACGAUAGAGAGAUCUUGAGGUCCUUCGGGACGGCUGUGGAGGUGCUGCAUGGUUGUCGUCAGCUCGUGCCGUGAGGUGUCGGCUUAAGUGCCAUAACGAGCGCAACCCCUUUCAUUAGUUGCCAUCAGGUUAAGCUGGGCACUCUAGUGACACUGCCACCGUAAGGUGUGAGGAAGGUGGGGAUGACGUCAAAUCAGCACGGCCCUUACGUCCGGGGCUACACACGUGUUACAAUGGGUGGUACAGAGAGUCGGUGCAAUGCAAAUUGUAUCCAAUCAUGAAAGCCAUCCUCAGUUCGGAUUGGGGUCUGCAACCCGACCCCAUGAAGCUGGAUUCGCUA
rnacentral:rRNA from 1 species